GAUGACGCUGGCGGCGUGCCUAAUACAUGCAAGUCGAGCGAGCGGCGGACGGGUGAGUAAUGUCUGGGAAACUGCCCGAUGGAGGGGGAUAACUACUGGAAACGGUAGCUAAUACCGCAUACCAUCGGAUGUGCCCAGAUGGGAUUAGCUAUCAGGUGGGGUGACGGAUCACCUAGUCGACGACCCCUAGCUGGUCUGAGAGGAUGACCAGCCACACUGGAACUGAGACACGGUCCAGACUCCUACGCGAGGCAGCAGUGGGGAAUAUAGCACAAUGGGCGCAAGCCUGAUGCAGCCAUGCCGCGUGUAUGAAGAAGGCCUUCGGGUUGUAAAGUACUUUCAGCGAGGAGGCGUUACUCGCAGAAGAAGCACCGGCUAACUCCGUGCCAGCAGCCGCGGUAAUAC
rnacentral:rRNA from 1 species